CGAGUGAAGAGGGAAUAGCUCAAAUUUUGAAUCUGGCACCUUUGGUGUCCGAAUUGUAAUCUAGAGAAGUGUUUUCCGUGACGGACCGUGCAUAAGUCUCCUGGAAUGGAGCGUCAUAGAGGGUGAGAAUCCCGUAUAUGGCAUGGACUCCCGUUGCUCUGUGAUACACUCUCAACGAGUCGAGUUGUUUGGGAAUGCAGCUCUAAAUGGGUGGUAAAUGCCAUCUAAAGCUAAAUAUUGGCGAGAGACCGAUAGCGAACAAGUACCGUGAGGGAAAGAUGAAAAGCACUUUGGAAAGAGAGUGAAACAGUACGUGAAAUUGUUGAAAGGGAAACGCUUGAAGUCAGUCGCGCCGUUCGGGAUUCAGCCUUGCUUCUGCUCGGUUUACUUCCCGUUGGGUGGGUCAACAUCAGUUUUGGUCGGAGGAGAAAGACUUGGGGAAGGUAGCAGCAUUCGUGCUGUGUUAUAGCCCCUUGUUGUAUACUUCGGCUGGGACUGAGGAUCGCAGCACGCCUUUGGCCGGGGUUCGCCCACGUACGUGCUUAGGAUGUUGGCA
rnacentral:rRNA from 1 species